AGUUUAGUCAGAUAUUUAAAAAAUAUAUAUUUGGUGUAUAUUUUAUUCAAAUUUUGUACUUUAUCCAUGGGACCUGUUUUGUCCCUAUUCUCAAGAAUCACUGGUAUCCUUAAACUCUAUACUCU